CACGAAAGCAUAUAAUGUGUACUCUUCUGCUCAAAUAAUGUCUGUGAAGUUCACGUGUGUUGUUGUAUGUAUCAGUGGCUCAUUCCUUUGAAUUUUUGAGCGGCAUCUCAUUACCUGAGUGAACCAGUUUAAUCAUGCUCCUGUUGAUGGACAUUGUGUUCUGUUUUUGUCUAUUAUAAGCAAAACUUUUGUAGAUAUUCUUGCCCAAGGUUCACACAUAGAGAUGCUGAGUGCUCUCAGAUAACCAUCUUAGUACACAGGACCAAUUCUUUAGUAGUUUUCCACAUGUCCAUGGAUAUGGCUCAAUAACAAAGAAAUCACUAUGUCAUGGCUAUGAAUUAGCAAAUAGUGGCUUUCUAAAACUUGAAGGAUGACAAGAAAUGGUAGAGAUGUGAAGGAAGAAUUAAUAAGUUCCCAUUCUCUCUGUUGAGAGGAACAACCUACCUAGGAAGUUAAGAAGACCUCUGGUAAACAAAAAUAUAACAAUUCAAUAAAUAAAUUUUUCUUGACCAAAU
rnacentral:lncRNA from 1 species